AGCUUUGCGCAGUGGUAAUAUCAUAGCCAAUUAAGGUUUUUAAUACGAGGCAUGAUUAUUUAUUUGAAAACUUUACCCAAUACCCCGUUAAGUCUGUUUUAUGAUAGACUUGGCAAUUUUUUACCGUCUCUGAUGAGA